rnacentral:misc_RNA from 1 species
UUUCCCUAUCCCUGUCCCUGUCCUUGCUUCUCUCCCUAUCUUUGUCCCUCUCGCGAUCCCUAUCCCUAUCCCUGUCCCUGUCUCUAUCCCUCUCCUUAUCGCGUCCUUUCUCUCUCUCCUUUUCCCUACUUUUUGAAGACUCUCUUUCAUAGUCUCGAGAACCAUGCUGAGAUUUGGAAUCGCUGUGAUCGUCGGCGCCGCCAUGGCUGUGACUGCUAGCGCNGAGGCUGAGGAGAGAAGCCACCACCGCCAGAACCGUAGUUAUCGUUGUCGAAGUCGGCACCAUUGCCAUCAUAUCUUCCUCCUUCGUAAUCGGUCAUCUUGAAAAUUGAAUGAUUGAUUAAUUCUUAGGCAAAAGUUUUGGAGCUGUUUCUUACUUUCGGGUUGGGUUCUCUGUUUAGCUGCGAAGCUUGAGACUGCUAAUGGAGAAUCAAGAACCCGAUGAUUUUGAG